rnacentral:rRNA from 1 species
GAGUUUGAUUCUGGCUCAGGAUGAACGCUGGCGGCGUGCUUAACACAUGCAAGUCGAACGAAGCGAGAAGAAAGAAGUUUUUCGAAAUGGAUUUUUUCUUUGCUUAGUGGCGGACGGGUGCGUAACACGUAGGUAACCUGCCCUGUGCUUGGGAAUAACUCCGGGAAACCGGUGCUAAUGCCGAAUAAUAUCGCCUGUCGGCAUCGAGAGGCGAUCAAAGAAUGUUGGCACAGGAUGGGCCUGCGCCGGAUUAGCUGGUUGGUGAGGUAACGGCUCACCAAGGCGACGAUCCGUAGCCGACCUGAGAGGGUGAUCGGCCACACUGGAACUGAGACACGGUCCAGACUCCUACGGGAGGCAGCAGUGGGGAAUAUUGCACAAUGGGGGAAACCCUGAUGCAGCAACGCCGCGUGAGCGAUGAAGGCUUUCGAGUCGUAAAGCUCUGUCCUAUGGGAAGAUGAUGACGUACCUAGAGAGCC